rnacentral:rRNA from 1 species
AUACGGAGGGUGCAAGCGUUAAUCGGAAUUACUGGGCGUAAAGCGCACGCAGGCGGCUUUUUAAGUCGGAUGUGAAAGCCCCGGGCUCAACCUGGGAAUUGCAUCUGAUACUGGGAAGCUAGAGUAUGUGAGAGGGGGGUAGAAUUCCAAGUGUAGCGGUGAAAUGCGUAGAGAUUUGGAGGAAUACCAGUGGCGAAGGCGGCCCCCCGGCACAAUACUGACGCUCAGGUGCGAAAGCGUGGGGAGCAACCAGGAGUAGAUACCCUGAUAGACCACGCCGUCAACGAUGUCUACUAGAUGUUCGUGGUCUUGGACCGUGAGUAUCGCAGCUAACGCAUUAAGUAGACCGCCUGGGGAGUACGGUCGCAAGAUUAAAACUCAAAUGAAGUGGCGGGG